rnacentral:rRNA from 1 species
AUUGAACGCUAGCGGGAUGCUUUACACAUGCAAGUCGAACGAGUGGCGGACGGGUGGGUAAUAUAUCGGAACGUGCCCAGUAGCGGGGGCUAACUACUCGAAAGAGUGGCUAAUACCGCAAACUAUUCGUGCGGCCGACAUCGGAUUAGCGAGUUGGUGGGGUAAAGGCUCACCAAGGCAACGCUCCGUAGCUGGUUUGAGAGGACGACCAGCCACACUGGGACUGAGACACGGCCCAGACUCCUACGGGAGGCAGCAGUGGGGAAUUUUGGACAAUGGGGGAAACCCUGAUCCAGCCAUCCCGCGUGAAUGAGAAGGCCUUCGGGUUGUAAAGUACUUUUGGCAGAGAAGCGGUAUCUGCAGAAUAAGCACCGGCUAACUACGUGCCAGCAGCCGCGGUAAUAC